UGUAUUCUGCCAAUAAUAUAUUAUUGCCAAUAUAUUCUACAAAUAAUAAUAUAUUGUGUCAACAAUUUUGGAGUUCACUGUAUCCACUGGAAUGGUUUACGAAAUGGACACUGCCAGUUUUGACACUAUCGAUCUUAACACAGCCAGCGAUUCGACGGUAGAAUGACAGUAGGAAAUUGAUAAAUAGUUUAUCGACGUUGCACUACGAUUCCCAGGACGAUUGCGUAGGGAGAACCAGCGGGCAGAUCGCGACGGACUGACCGUUUACUUGGAAACGCGACGGAGUCAGGAGACUUGGGUCGAAUUUAUAAUUAACGCGGCCUGUAAAAUGGGACACCUCUACUGGAGUCAGAUGACCCUACAUCACCGCGUCACGCACCAUUUAUUUACCCCUCGUGCUCAUCUGUUUGAGCAAAUAGAACCAAACUUAUGAAAAUGUAAUCGCUCAGUAAUCUCUGUAAUGAUAGUCAGAAAAAGUAAGCCAUUUUCUGAGUAGUGUUCUGAUCAUUUUAGUUGGUGGUUGUCGUUAAUUUUAUUUAAUAGUUUAUUUUGUACGAAAGUAAAAGAUAAUUUUGCAAAA